rnacentral:rRNA from 1 species
UACGUAGGGCGCAAGCGUUGUCCGGAAUUAUUGGGCGUAAAGAGCUCGUAGGCGGUCUGUCGCGUCUGCCGUGAAAACCCGAGGCUUAACCUCGGGCUGGCGGUGGAUACGGGCAGACUAGAGGUAGGUAGGGGAGAAUGGAAUUCCCGGUGUAGCGGUGAAAUGCGCAGAUAUCGGGAGGAACACCGGUGGCGAAGGCGGUUCUCUGGGCCUGUACUGACGCUGAGGAGCGAAAGCGUGGGGAGCGAACAGG